GUCCGCGCACCUUCCGCAUUACGUACUUUUUGUCAUCAGGAGGGCUCGCGCUGUUGUAUCAUCGCGCGGUCUCAAAAAAUUGCCUGCACGAGAACGGUGCGCGACGUACAACAGCUGAUGCAACUACGGCGCUAGGUCCUGUGGUGCAUCUCAAACGCGCCUCCUCUAUUAUAUUUCGGUGGAACAUACCAACACAAACUGGGGGGGGGAUCACAUGACCAUCAGAGGCUUCACACAGUUCACAAACGCGACCGGCGGCGUCAGAACACGACUGGAAUACCGGACGCGACAGAGGACACCUGGCGUCAACGCAGCCUGUAGGUCUUUCUAAGCUUUCGGAUUUAUUUCACGAUGUAGACUUUAGAAGUCUUUUUUUUUUCUCAAGUUUUCUUGUCUUUUUUUUUAAGCAUUCACCCCCUGGAAGUUUUGUUGGGAGCGCAUAGAGCCGAGCCUCAUCUGACUAAUGCAAACAGUGCAUACAGCCAUGAGGAUUUAUUGGAUUCUUGCACUAUUUCUAACUGGCGCUUCCUCUGUUACUGUGAUGCUGAAUCGCCCAACAUCACUUCCUUGCUGCAGCGGUGAAAAAGUCGUGUGGAGGAAGACCUUCCCCAUAAAAGCAACUGUUGCUGAAUGCCAAAAGGAGAAAUGCAUCAUAAUAGAAACUUUUCGAGAAAGAUUUGCAAUCACGCGUGACGACAACUACUCUCUAUUUCUUAAGUCAGCAAAAUACAAUGACCUGGGGCAAUACGAGUGUAGCUGUGAUGGCUUAAUCAAGCAAGUUAUCCUGGAUGUUGUAGUUCCUAUAAACGUGACAGCUGUUGAGUUGGGAAAUGUCACUCUCCCGUGUUAUGCGGAUACUCAAUGCGAUGUCAGGGAUGUGACAUGGCUACAUAAUGAGCAAAACGUUCUGCACUGCACUACAAAUGGAGCCACAAACCCAGGCAUCGGCUAUGAGGACAGAGUAUUGCUGACAGAGGACGGAUUCAGAGACGGCGAUGUGUCUCUGACCAUCACAGGUGUCCAAAAGAGAGAUGAAGGAUUUUACCGCUGCUUCGUUGAUGAGGAAAAUAUUAAAGGAAACCCACAUGCCUACAUGCUGCAUGUCAGUGAGAGGAGUGCAGGAGGAGACCAAACUGAGAGCAGCAACAAAGAAAAAACCCCAACUUGCUUAGGAUUGAUCUUACCUUUCUCACUCUUGAUUUGCUUGCUGCUUAUUCUUUUAUGCCGUAAGAAGAAGGCAUCACCCACAGAGGAAACUACAGAUAGCGAGCCCGUACAGGAGAGUGACCAAAAGCAUUCAACUCGUCCGUUUUAUUCUGGAGAAGAGACCUAUAUGAACUGUCAAACCUGAGAUUGAACGAUUACAGUCAUUCCACUCAAACACAGGAACAUGAUUGUUAGCAGUGUCAUUCAGGUAACUGGCAGCUGCUUGUUUGAUGCACAGGUGCAAAAUAUUGGGACCACAGAAUGUUUUGAACACUGUUGUGUGAGUUGUGUACCGAGUUGGAAAGAGGGUACAAAAUGUAGAUAGAUGGGAGACUUUUAAUAUUACUUCUUAUAUAAGACAUUAUUUACACAAAUAUAUAUUUAUAUUUCUAAAUGAUCAAAACUGUAGUUCAUGAGAAUAACAAAUGUAUGUAUAUGAUGAUAAAUAACAGAUUUUUCGUGGCCUCUUACAGUCUCCUCCUGAGCUUAUUAUCAGUCGCCAUUCACUUUCUUUAUUUUCAGUCACCAUUGAGAAUGUGUGUGAGUGAAGAAAUGCACAUAUAGCCUCUUUUGUGCUGUAUAAGGUAUUGUUUUUCUUUUAUCCUGAGCUGCCUUAUUCCUGUUUUUCUUUGUUACAUUACAUCAAGGUGAAUUUGUCUUGAGUGAGAAAUGAUUACUUUUAAGGUUUUUCAUCCUUAAAGAUUUAGGUGAUUUGUUUGUGUGACAAUUCAAUCGAUAUAAAAAAAAUGUUUACUGAGAAGACUCCCCUUUGCUUCUUUUGUGGCAUGGAAGAUGAGUCUGUCCCCAUUAUCUUCGUAAUAUUGCACGUCUUCGAUCUUCUCUAACUCUAGCUG
ensembl:lncRNA uncharacterized LOC107567949